rnacentral:rRNA from 1 species
CGUAGGUGACCUGCGGAAGGAUCAUUAU